UGGGCACUUUAACUCUUGGCUUGGUCUGAAAUGAUAUAAAAACAACUUUAGCUGCUUUUCCAAAUCACUGGGUCAGGUUUGUAUGCCCUGGAGGUCAGU